rnacentral:lncRNA from 1 species
UGGUGUUCGAAAUCAUGAUUUCUGAGUGAACUUCAAUGGAGCAGAAAAUCUUGGAGGAAACAUUGAUAUCAAUCUAAUGACAUUCCAUAGGAAUAAAAAUCCAAUGGGAUCCAGUUCUUAGCAGUCCCAGCCUAUUCAGAAGUACAAAGUCAAAUACCAUUUGCACAUCACCAAGAGGUACAAUCUGAUGAGUAACAGGAUAUCUGAUCUAAAAGCUUGCCAGGUUUCACAGGCUGUUUGAGUAUCACCAGGGCAGAUCAAGAAGAAAUAUGAAGGCCAGGUUCAUAACAAGCAGUUGCUUUAUUGCAAUUACAGAUUUAAAAAUUUAAUGAAUUUAAAUAAAUGUGUCGAUACAUAUUGAAUGUUGCUUAAACUACACAUCUGUUGAACAAAAAAAGAUUAUUUGGAGUAUAGAUAUUUAGGUCCAUAGGUUUCACACAAGAUUAAAAUAUUUUUCGAAAGGGCACACUUAU